AAUCUUACCGGGUCCGGACACACUGAGGAUUGACAGGCAAUAUUAGCACUUAGCUUCGGCGACGUGUUAUGUUAAAUAUGCUAGUCCUUUCAUGAUUAUGUGAUAGGUGGUGCAUGGCCGUUCUUAGUUCGUGGAGUGAUCUGUCUGCUUAAUUGCGUUUCAC
rnacentral:rRNA from 1 species